rnacentral:lncRNA from 1 species
ACAUCACAACAGGUUUUCCAUAACAUUCAACUACUCAGGCUACUAUAAAUGAAACAACAACUUGGCGAUAAAUCAAACAACUUCGCGAUAAUGCAAGGGGUACCUUAAAGUCUACUCUACCCAUGUAUGGUUAUAAGUCUUAUAUAUUAAACUUGGCUCCUACAAAGUUUAACAUAGAAUACAGAGCAAAUUCCCUUGAAUUUCAGACUUUUGUCAGGACAUUGCCAUCAUGCUGAUCAAGCAACUUGGGGAAUGUCAACAUUGUUACUGCUUUAACAACUGUAAAGUUCAAUGAUAUGGUCAAGUAUAAAUUCAAUUGAAGAAUGCAAAAAAUGGGUAAAGGAAGUCGGCGUAAAUUCAGAUACCCCAGUGGAUAGUGCAAGAGCUCUAAACCAAAUGCUACUACUUGCUUUCAGGCAUUGGCAGAGUGAAUGGCAGUUGAAAAAUUUUGGCCCUUAUUCUGGAAGUGGAAUGUUAGAUGUUUUCGCAUAAUAUCAAUCAAAAGCAUUGCCUCUCCAUUUUCAUGGUCAAAAAGAUAAAGUUAAAAAAAAAAAAAAAAAAAAAAAAAAAAGAAAAAAAGAAAGAAAGAAAAAAAGAAAAA